UCUUAUAAUAUAUUGAGAACAUUUCACUAAUAAAAUUAAGAAAUAAAUUGUACCUAUUUUUUUAAGGAAAUGAGUGCAAUUUUUAGGCUUAAUUUGAGGAACCAUUUAGGCUAAAAUUUUAAGGAAAAAAGGCUUCAUAUUUAUUUUAAGAGAAUUGGUCCAAUUACCCGGGUUUGGUUGAGUCACCUUCAUUUGAAUCUCAACGGCAGUGAUCAGACGGCGUUUUGAAGGAGCAGACGAACAGUGGAAAAUAUUAAGAGGUAAGUUAUAAGCCCCUUACUAAUUUUUACAUUUUAUUUUGAUUUCUUAAAUAAGCUCCUCAGGACACCGCUUAUUCACGCUAGUACAGGAAUUGUUUUACACUUAUUUUUGAAUCUGAACGACAGUGAUCAUUUUGGCAUGUGAAACAGUGACUAUGUUGAACCAGGCGUUUUAAAAUAAAGGUUUACAAUUAUGCGAUGUUAUUUGAUGUGAAAAUCUGAACUCGAGCUCAUUAGUCAUAACUCCUCACAUGCACGUGCUGAGGCUAGAAUGGACAUGUUGGUCGCUAAAGCAAAACUAAUUAUGGCCAUGCAUCGAGCUUGAUAGAUGGGGCAGUUUCUAUGAUUAUACUUAAAAACUUUUAAGAGUGUUGAUGUGUUUAUAUAUUCGCUUCAAAUUGUAAAGAUGUAUUAAAUUAGCGUUUAAUCAUUUCACGCAAAAUAUGCAUUUUUUUCAUUCAUCCUCGACGUUAGAGGGCGCCCUCUUAAAAAAACAAAACAAGUCACAAACACCAUAGAAGCAACACGAUGACGUUCCAGGAAUUGAUAUGGACAUAACCAUGCUUUUGACUAGUUGAAGAAUACAAACAUCUUUGCAAUAAUUAAGGCAUUAUCAGUCUCCACAAAGAGUUGAAUUGUGCCCGACAGUUGCAGAAUUUAAAGAUCGCUGGCCUGCUCUGUUUGACAUUCUCCAGAUUAAUGAAGAGUUUAGGAGAAUUACUACUCUGCACCUUGAGCCAACAUUUAUUAAGAUGUUGGAUUACUACACUCCUAAACUUUUCACAAUAUUUUCCUGCAAAGGAGGAGCACUCGCACAGAUUUUGAAGAAGAAAAUGGGUGCCAUACAGCAGACCUCACAUCAAAACAUAGAACAGACAAGAGAUGUUGUCCUCCGUUGCUUGGUCAAUUACUUGGGUGAAAAGGAGGAAGACCUCAUCCAGGAGUACAAUG